GCAGCAUUGAAAAACUGGUUCCUGUAGGAUCACUGAAAUUAAGCAAUGUCGAGCCUGGUCAGUACCGAGAUGAGUGACCACUUUGAAAUACUAGGUGCUGUAA